rnacentral:lncRNA from 10 species
GCCGCGGGUCACUGUCCCGGAAGCGGGAGGUUGCCACGUCCGGCCCCACCCUGCCCCGCCCCCUUUCCCGCUCCGCUCCGGGGCCGCCCUCUUUCCCUGCCUCGCGACACCCAGACCGAGACCUCGGGAAUGCUCCGGCCCCCUGCCGCCGUCUCCCGGCCCGGUUCUCUUUCACUAAAAAUAGGCGAUUCUGGCAGCGCCCCUCCUAUGGGGCCUUGGGGGCAAUUGGGGUUUUGUCUUAGAGCCCGUGUGGACCCGGAUGGCGACGGCAGCCCGAGGAGAGGGAGGGCUGACUGUAUGGUUGGCUUUCCGACGACCAGACCCUGCAGGAUUCGGCCUUUCCCUUUGGAGUUUUCCUCCAUCCCCCUCCGUCCCUCCCAGGGGAUGCCCGCAGGCCACAGUGGUCACUGAAGGUCAACCCUGAGCCGAAGGAGAAGUGGCCUCGACCCUGGGGACCCCUUCAGGUGCAGCUUGAGGGGGAACGGCCGCCUUUCCCGUUGGGCACCCAGCUGUGGCUGUGCCCUGUCCUCGCCCAGCUCCCGGCAUAGGCAUGCGCUCUGGGCCGGGGCCGGGGCCCCCCGCCUCCCCGGGAGGAAUCGCUGGGUUGACUCUGGGUCAGCAAAGGGAGCCCGGCCCUUUCUAGCGGGGGGACGUCCUGCAGCCGCUGGAGGAGGCUGAGUCACGCUUUUCCCACCAGAAGUCUACCUGUGCCUGCGCCCGCCGGACCUGCCGGCCUCUUCCUUCUCAUCCAGGGGGCCUCUUCUCCAGCCUCACGGAGGUGGGAAGCUUGCUGGAGGCCCCUACCUGCCUUUUGGGGAAGACCCCGAGGCUGGCCCACGCCCUGCUGGCAGGACCCUUCCUGACUGGGUCCACCGUUCUUCUGGGUCUCACCACUUCUCCCAGCCCCUGGGCUGCUUCCUCUCUCCCGUGUCUGGGACCCCAGAGGCACCACUUCCAUUCCAUACAAGGAGUCCACAGGACCUGUACAGUUGGAACCAGCCCCUCAGGCUUCCCUGCCAGAGCCCUUUUCUCCAGGAGCAGAGGCAUCCAUCCCCUCCUGCCAGCAUUCCAGACCCUGGAGGGCUUGCGCGGUGGCAGGUUUUCCCUUGAAUGCUGAGGCGAGGCUGAGGGAAAGGUGCGUGGCCAGGACCAGAGGGCCUGCUGACUGCCAGCUAAAACUCUGUGCAGGAGGCUUUCCCACGUACUUUACGUACUUUAAGAUGAUGAGCAAAAUCCUUACUGUCUCCCUGCAAAAUCCGUGUGGCUUCCUCUGGCGUGUCCCAUACUCUUGUGUUUGUGGCCAGACUGGGCCUCCGCUCUUCCUCCAAACUCAUUAGUUCUCUCCCACACAGAACACACAUUGUUCUGCCUGGAAGGCCCAUCACAUCCCUCCCCAACCCUCUCGGUUCAAUCUAAGCUUUCUUGGGGUCUCAGCUUAGGUUGCCUGUUCAGGGAAGCCUCUGGGACCCUCAGGUCUAGGUCACAUUUGUUUCAUGCUUUCACAGCGGUGGUGUAGUGUAUACUGGUUCUUCUUAUCCCUCAGGUGUCUCCUCACAAGGACUGCUCUGUUUCUGCUAAGUGUUGCAUUCUCACCACCCAGUGGAGGCUUUGGCCUGUGGAAGAUUCUAAUUUUGGUGGCCAGCCUCAUGGGUUGAAAAGUAAAGGUCAAGUAGUUAAAGGAAGGGCGUUCCAGGCAGAGGGAUCAGCGUAGGUGCAGAGGUAAGGUAGGGAUAGCUUUGAGGGCUCCUUAGGAGGGAGUGAAACCCCUGAGGGUCAAGGAGCCCUAGUUUGGAAGGCCUUGCUACUAAGGGAUCUGGAUUUUGUCCUGAAGCCUAGAGUAGUUUCUUUAAGAGUCUGAUCUCGGCCAGGCCUAGAGUAGUUUCUUUAAGAGUCUGAUCUCGGCCAGGCCUAGAGUAGUUUCUUUAAGAGUCUGAUCUCGGCCAGGCGCAGUGGCUCACGCCUGUAAUCCCAGUACUUCGGAAGGCCAAGGCAGGCAGAUCACGAGGUCAGGAGUUCCAGACCAUCCUGGCUAACACGGUGAAACCCGUCUCUACUAAAAAUACAAAAAAUUAGCUGGGCCUGGUGGCACGUGCCUGUAGUCCCAGCUACUCGGGAGGCUGAGGCAGGAGAAUUGCUUGAACCGGGGAGGUGGAGGUUGUAGUGAGCAGAGAUCAUGCCACUGCACUGCAGCCUGGGUGAUAAGAGUGAGACUCCAUCUCAACAACAACAAAAAAAGUCUGAUCUCAGCACUGUCCUGCCUAGACUGCUUCUUUUUUUAGGACAAGUUUUUAUUGCUACCUGCUAAAAACGCACUUAUUGUCACGGUGCAGGCUAGGUUGGAGGAGUAAAACUAGAGACAAGAAGAGUUAAGAAGCCACUGCAGUAUUCAAGACAAAUGAGUCAAGCCAAAGGCUGAGAUGCUGUACAGGAAGGUCUCUAGGGGGACCCUAAAUUUAGCUGGGGGUGGUGGUGCAAGAUUCCUACGAAGUGGCACUAAAGGAGGGACUGAGUACUUACUAAAGACCUUAUGACUAAGAGGUCUCUCUCAUCCCUACACUACUUCCUUCACUCCAGUGUCUAGAAUUGGCCUCUGUAUAUAGGAGCUCUUUGGUUGAGCAUGGUUCACACCUGUAAUCCCAGCAGUUUGGGAGGCUGAGGUGGGAGGAUCACUUGAACUCAGGUGUUCAAGACCAACACAGUGAGACCCCAUCGCUAUAAAAUUUUUAAAAAUUUUAGCCAGGCAUGGUGGUGCACGCUUGUAGUCCCAGCUACUUAGGAGGCUGAUGCAGGAGGAUCGCUUGAGCCCAGAAGUUGGAGGCCGCAGUGAGCUAUGAUCACAUCACUACACUCCAGCCUGGGUGACAGGGUAAGAUCCUGUCUCAAAAAGAAAAAAAAAAAAUUAAGCACAAAAAGUUUGGAGACCAGGAAACAGGAGUACAAGUAUAGGUGCUGUCCCACUCUUAGUGAGGUCGGCUGUGAAAUUAAAUCAGUUCCUGGAACAAAUCUUACAAAGAGAUCAGAGAUCACUUGCAGUUUUUUUUUUUUUUUUUUUUUGAGACAGCGUCUCACUCUGUCACCCAGGCUGGAGUGCAGUGGUGCCAUUUUGGCUCACAGCACCCUUCGCCUCCUGGGUUCAGACAAUUCUCCCACCUCAGUCUCCCGAGUAGCUGGGACUACAUGCCUGGCUAAUUUUUGUCUUUUUUGGUAGAGACAGGGUGUCACCAUGUUGGCCAGCCUGGUCAUUAACUUUUUAAAAAAAUGUUUAUUUUCCUGAUAAAGAUUCAGCAUAAAUUUUAGGCAGAAGUCUGACGUCUAGCAGUCCCCCAGAAAGCAUUCUGUUGUCUGUUGGGGCUUCCUUGGGAGAUGGACUGUGGGCUAGGCCUGGGUGCUUUGGCAGAUACAGAGUCAGAGGCUGUGGAAAGGGGAUGGUCCAGACAGGACUAUAAUAAAUGCAUGAGCCACCGUGCCUGGCCCUCAGGGUACUUUUAAUAAAGUGCUAGCUAGGCAAGCCUAUUCUUCCUCUCAAGAGUAGGUGUUCCACUUUUGAACACCUAUGCCAGGCACCGGCUAUAGUGCCUACAAGAGGAUGAUAUGUGGACAUGACCACUUUCCCUGACUACAUCAGUGGUUCUCAACUGGGGAUGAUUUUGCAAUGUCUGCUUAUGGGACAUUUGGUAAUGUCUAGAGACAUUUGUGGUUGUCACAACUAGUGGAGGGGUACUACCUGCAUGUAGUGGGUAGAGUCCAGAGAUGCUACUAAGUAUCCUAUAAUGCAUAGGACAGCUGCCCACAACAAAGAAUUAUCUCACUCAAAAUGUCAAUAGGGUCGAGGUUGAGAAAUCCUGGUCUAGGCUGGGUGUGGUGGCUCAUGACUGUAAUCCCAGCAUUUUGGGAGGCCAAGGCAGGAGGAUCACUUGAGCCCACCAGGAGUUCAAGACCAGCCUGGGCAAUGUAGGGAGAUCUCCACAAAAAAUAAAAAUAAAUUAGCUGCACUAUAGUCCUUGUUACACAGAAGGCUGACGUGGGAGCAUCACUUGAACGUAGGAAGUGAGUGAGCUGUGAUUGCACUACUGCACUCCAGUCUGGGCAACAGAGUGAGACCCUGGCUCAAACAAAACAAAAACAAAAGCAUUGAAAGAAAGAAAGAGGCCGG